GUUUCAUUUAUCUGCAUUUGCACCUGCACCUCUUUUGGUCUUUACUGGUUUUCUCAUGCACUGAUGAACUCAGAGAUCCAUGCAUAGGUGCAAGUGUAAGUGCAGACAAAUGCCUUCUUGGUUUUUUCUCAGCUCUAAAGGUGUUCGAAGGAUAAAACAUUCUAUUUUUGGGCUAUCAUCUGUGCUCCAUAUCCAUCUAAGUCUGCAUGCCUACAAAUUAAUAUGUCAUGCUGUCUGUUGGUCUUUUUGAAACUUGUCCUUAUAACAGAUGUUUAUACAAAAUGAUGAAAGUUUGAAGUUGUUGCUGUUUCUUUGAUCGAUCGUGUAUAGUAUAGUGUGAGUUGUGUUCUUCUAUAUGCGUACUAGUUUGGUUGGUUAAGCUUUAAACCUAUAAUCUUUAUUAUGCAGUUUCAAUUUUACGAGCAAAAACAUUUGUGAAUGUAUUUUCAAGAUGCUUGUGCUUCCUUUUCUGCAGUCGUUAGGUUGAGGAUCACUGAACUACAUGAAGCCACAAACACUUCAAAUCUGACAUUUGAUGCCCCAAAAAAGAAAGAAAAAAAGUCCGUGACAUUUGAACUAAAAUUGGUAAAAUAUCUCACAUAUAGACAAAUAUCAAGAUCUUGUCAACAAAUCUUUAUUGGCGGUUUGCAACAUAUAUAUAUAUAUAUAUAUAUAUAUAUAAUUGCUACAAAUACAGUAACAAAAACCACAAACAAGCUUCUCCAACAAGAAGAAAAGGAGAGGAAGAGUUGCAUAUAAAGAUGGAUUGGUUUCAAUUGCCUCAGGGUAUACAUGACUUGUGCUUCUCUUUUUUUAUUUCUUUCCUGCUAAAGUACAUGAUGACUUGUGCUUCAUGGUGAAAGUUAAUUCUGGUUAAUUUGUUAGGUUUCUGUCUUCGGACUUUUUACUUGUUUUAGCUGACUUGUUCGAUUAAUACUGUGGUUUGAGUGUUAGUUUCUAAUAACUCUCUUUUGGUGGUAACAAAAUGAUCUUACACACCAAAAAAGAAGCAAUUAAAAACACACAACAAGAAAAAGACAAGGACAGGAAUUAAAGAUACAGAGCUGACAGAUGUUGGUUAUGUUAUGCCCAAUGGGGGAGGGUCCUGGUGAUGGUGUCCUUUGUUCCCCAUUAUUUCAUACUCAUAUAAACUUUUUAAUUAAUAGAACAAAGGAUUAGACGAGAUUAGCUCUUCAGUAUUGGUCAUUAGAUAUAUUCAUAUAUAACUAGUAAUACAGUGAACUACUGGUCAAUCAAUUUAUUAUUUGAUUUGUAAACUGGGAUACUUCAAAUUAUACAAAGCCCUGCUGCUGUCCAUUUAUUUUGUAUGACAUAAUAUAAUAUCUUAAUUUAAUACCAUUUGCAUGAUAAUUAAUGAAUGUAUUCUCAAGAGCUACUUAGUAGAACUUUCAAAGUCAUUGUUUAUGAUUGAGUCCCCAAAAA